AAGCAGCAAGAUAAAGUCCCUGCCUACAUGAAGCUUACCUUGCAGUGGAGGAGGAAGACAAUAACAUCAUGUCAGAGGGUUAAAGACAAAGUGUUACUGUUCUCCUUUAAACAAGCUAGACUGGACCAGAUUGUCCACCCUGGACUAGCUGGCAUAACAGAUCCUCUUGGCUCUCUGAGGGCGCCUUCUCUCCAUCAGAGGUCGCACAGCACCACCUUGAUUCCAGGAUUCUUGGCACCACCUUGAUUCCAGGAUUAGCAAUCGCCAACUGCGUAAGCCCAACUGCACAUGCAAUCAUAUGACAUGUGAUCCCAUGGCAAAUGUAAUCACCGCUCAACCAAUCCCAGGUGCUGCUACUGCUACUUCAAACUGUAAUAGUGUCUACAAACAAUUUGCACUUUGGAAUGCCACAAUCCCAGGGGGUAAUUAACAAAUCCAGGGAACAAUCUUUUUAAAAGCCUUUAAAAGCAACAGAGACUGAGGCCACCUUCGAUGAAAUAGAAUCACUCCACUUUCUCUGUCAUUUCAGAAGAUACCUGGCUGACUCGUAGAGAGGUUUUGAGAGCACAGGCCCUGGGCUUUAUGGAAAGUUCCUCAAGAUGUGUUAAUUAGAAAUAAAAUGCAGCAUGGUUAUCGGCUGCAGAGCUUUCUGAAUGAAGCAGACUCUGAAGAGGGACUAAGAUUUCAAGAGUUAGAAGCAGAGUUCACAAAGGGCCACCCAAGGACUGUGAAUUCCAAACAUACCAUUCACUAUUCCAAGGUAGAAGACUGCGUUCACCAGCAUGCCUCCUUUCCGGAAGUGGUCGCUCAUGUGCUCUAACCAGUUGGCGUCCAAACCGCUCACUGUCUGGCCAUUCUUGGAGACAUGGAGAGGAAUGGUGACAGGGUAGUAUUGCCGGCACUUCUGAUGGCUCUUCGGUUUGUUGAAAAGGGUGAAGAUCUCCAUUUCUGUUGGGAUUUGUAAAGGGAGUGGAGAGAGAAGAGGUCAACUGAUGAUAAAAAUCUGUUUCAUCGGCUUAAGUGGAAUCUCUCAGGAGCCUGAAUAAAUGAUAUGAUGAAUGCUGAAA
rnacentral:lncRNA from 1 species